rnacentral:rRNA from 1 species
GUGAACGCUGGCGGUAGGCCUAACCCAUGCCAGUCGAACGGCAGCACAGUAAGAGCUUGCUCUUACGGGUGGCGAGUGGCGGACGGGUGAGGAAUACAUCGGAAUCUACUUUUUCGUGGGGGAUAACGUAGGGAAACUUACGCUAAUACCGCAUACGACCUACGGGUGAAAGCAGGGGAUCUUCGGACCUUGCGCGAUUGAAUGAGCCGAUGUCGGAUUAGCUAGUUGGCGGGGUAAAGGCCCACCAAGGCGACGAUCCGUAGCUGGUCUGAGAGGAUGAUCAGCCACACUGGAACUGAGACACGGUCCAGACUCCUACGGGAGGCAGCAGUGGGGAAUAUUGGACAAAGGGCGCAAGCCUGAUCCAGCCAUACCGCGUGGGUGAAGAAGGCCUUCGGGUUGUAAAGCCCUUUUGUUGGGAAAGAAAAGCAGCAGGUUAAUACCCCGCUGUUCUGACGGUACCCAAAGAAUAAGCACCGGCUAACUUCGUG